GAUGAAGAACGCAGCGAAAUGCGAUAAGUAGUGUGAAUUGCAGAAUUCAGUGAAUCAUCGAAUCUUUGAACGCACAUUGCGCCCCUUGGUAUUCCAUGGGGCAUGCCUGUUCGAGCGUCAUUACAACCCUCAAGCUCUGCUUGGUAUUGGGCCCCGCCAGUUCUGGCGGGCCCUAAAGUCAGUGGCGGUGCCUUCCGGCUCCGAGCGUAGUAAUUCUUCUCGCUCUGGAGACCCGGUUGUGUGCUUGCCAACAACCCCCAAUUUUUUAAGGUUGACCUCGGAUCAGGUAGGGAUACCCGCUGAACUUAAGCAUAUCAAUAAGCGGAGGA
rnacentral:misc_RNA from 1 species